rnacentral:rRNA from 1 species
AUGUUUCCGCAAUCAGGGACGAAUAGCUCAGUAAAACUGCGAUGAUUUAGUCUGGCUGUGUAGAUAACUACGUGAAAAUGUAGCUAAGGGAAGGCAGAAUAAGACGCAGGACUAUCAGUUAGUUGGUAGUGUAAUGGACUACCAAGACAGUGACGGUUGACGGGAAAUUAGGGUUUUGUACCGGAGAGGGAGCCUGAGAGAUUGCUCCCACGUCCAAGGACGGCAGCAGGCGCGAAAAUUGCCCACUCUUUGCAGGAGGCAGUUAUGAGACGUGAAGAUGAGUAUCUUGUAAAGAGGGAUAGGAGAAUUGGAGGGCAAGUUUGGUGCCAGCAGCCGCGGUAAUACCGACUCCAAGAGUGUGUAUGAGAGAUGCUGCAGUUAAAAAGUCCGUAGUCAUAGAAGGGCAAAGAGAGAUGCGAGGUCUCACAGUGCGAUGAUGGAGGAGCCGAUGGGGAACAUAGUAUACCAGGGCGAGAGAUGAAAUGCCAAGACCCCUGGUGGACUGAGCGAGGCGAAGGCGAUGUUCUUGUAGGCAUUCGGUGAUCAAGGACGAAGGCUGGAGUAUCGAAAGUGAUUAGAUACCGCAGUAGUUCCAGCAGUAAAAGAUGCCGACAUGCUCAUUGGACACAGUGGGCAGGGAGAAAUCUUAGAGUUCGGGCUCUGGGGAUAGUAUGCUCGCAAGGGUGAAAAUUAAAGAAAUUGACGGAGCUACACCACAAGGAGUGGAUUGUGCGGCUUAAUUUGACUCAACGCGAGGAAACUUACCAGGGCCAAGUAUUG